UGUAGCGGUCUUAUCGGAAGCGCUUGCUGAUCUGCGUAGCUGGGACUUGAGUAUUGGAGGAGCAAGGGUCCUCGGUUUAUUAGUGCUCCUCCCCCCAGUCGGAAUGGAAGGCGCUGUCACGUCACGUGACCGAAUUUGGCAAGUCACAUGACGAAGAACCGGCCUUAGCCUGCGCUGGGGGGUCGGGGGAAGGUCUAACCCUGGAGGAAUUGCGGGGAGUUGGGCUCCGGGGAGCGGAGGAUCGGAACCAUCAGAUUUUCACCGCGGAUACCUCAGUCCCGGGGGGAAUCCUGUGACCGGGAAGUGAGUCCCCUCUCACCAUGUCUGGCUGGCGCCGACCCAGAUGCCACGUGAUGGCCAUUUGAAGACAGCCCUUCUGGACAUCAGGAUGAAGAGGGAUUGCAGUAUGACCAUGCACCAUUGGAGAGGAGCUUCCUCCCAGUUGCUCCACUGUCUCUUCAUCUCUUUCUGCAAGGGCACAUGCCCUAUAGCAAAAAACAACAACAAACAAGUGCCUGAGGCUGGUCGUGGAUGCUGGUGUGAAUAACCUGUGGGGAGUGCUGCAUUUCCCUCCGCUAAGUAACUGAGGCCAGGACUCAGGAUUCAGACCCAGCAAGCCAGAGCCUGCACAGGUAUGGCAAGACUUUUGCAGGAGUAGCCCUCCUCGGCGUCCAGUGACAACUCAGCUGGUUGCUGUCGGAGGAAGUUGUCAGAGUGAGGGGAGACAGGAAGGGGGCCAGCCUAGUGUGAAAAGAGGCUUCCCCUCUUCAAGGUGAGCAGGUGGUGGUGAUGCAGGAGGCAUCAUGAGAUCUAUAAAAUCUAAGAUUCUGGGGCCAGCAGGUGGUGUGGUGGUUAAG